CCUUUAUCUACUCAGGCAAUGAGCUCGUUAUAGGAAUUUCUCAUGCCUACAGAGAGUGGGGUCCUUGCAGCAAAAAGGGCUUAAAUGUCAGAGGUGGCCUUUGGACAUUAAAACCAUAUAAACCUGGAUUGUUUUCUUGUGGUGCAGUGUUCAGAAAACAAGCAAUGAAAGAAUCACAUCAAAUUCAUCAGAAGGCAUCAUACUGCAGUUGUCAUUGGUGAGUUCUGUAAGGAAUAUUCCAAAUCCCUGUCUGUAGAACAAGGACAUGCAAGUUUCAGAAGUGCCUUCUCAAAAGACUGGGUGCAAAAACCCAGUCCUUGCAGAGCAUAAGAAUCAUUAGUUGCUUUCAGGGAUUUAGCUUGGAAUUAACAUGACUCCUUUUCUUCCAGCAUUUCUUCCCUGCAGUUGUUGAUUCUCUCUGUGCAUGUAAAAGCACUGAUAGGGCCAUCAUUAAUGUACAGCACCUCUUUUCUUCUUAACAUUGGCAUCUCAUUACUGCAGAGGUGAAAGCUGUGGAAGCCUUCUGCCUUUGAAGAACUACUUAAGAUGAAAUGGUUCUGAAGUGCAUUUAAGGGUGUUUACUUAAGGCACUUUAUUUUUUGCUUUAUUUUUAUUCCUAUUGGGACUGGCUCAUGUUAUUCAUUAAACUAACAAUUUCUCCCCUGCCUGUUCUUAAGUGUGACUUGUGACCUUGCAAUCUGUGUAUUUUGUCAUCACAGUGUGUUACCAUGGAACUGAUUUUGAUGUCAUGAAUAAGGGCAUUGUGAGUUUCCACGUUCCCAAGCAUAUUUGAGACACAGGUUUGGAAACAAAAAUGACUUCACCAGUUAAAUAUUGUUAGAUCCUAUAGUAUAUCAAAGUUCCACAUCCAAAAGAUGCUUUGGAGGGGAGGUCUGUGACCGCAAGAAGCAAUGUGAAACCACCCAGAUGCAGAUAAAUUGCCAUUCUCUCUCACUGCACAGAGAAAUUGGGUCCUAAUGUCAUCCACAGUGGAAGGGGAAGCUCAGUUCCCUCCUCUUUCAGCUGGAGACGAUGGGAGCAGGCAAACACUUCACUGCUUUGAAGUGCCAGCAGAAAGGCUUUCAGGAUCGUGGCCAACACCCUCUGCAAGUGUCUUUUGGAUCUCUCUCAGCUUGAGUAGAGACAUUUGAACAGGUAUCAGGUUGUGAGGGAGUUUAGCCAACUAAAAAGCUGAAGUGGAAAAAGAAGCUCAAGUGAACCCACCUAGGGAAAAGAGGCAGCUCUUGAAUGCAAAAGGCUUUAAACAGAAAACGGAAGGUACUGUUUUUAGAGGAAAGCAAACACAGGUCCUUGGGAAAGUAUUAAUUUAGCAGGGUUUUGAAAAAAUUUAUUUCUGUUUAUUCUCUUUGCUGAUGGGUAGUUAGGGAUGGGGAGAGAGUUCCAGGAAUUAAUUAAAACAAAAAUUGACAGUACUGGUACUUUCACUAAAUGUGUUUUAUGUAUACAUUACUUCCUAAGGCAGAAUCAAAAACUACAAAAAUGGUUCAAAUACUAGUAAAGGGCAUUAAAUUCACUAAAUCAUAACUCCCACUUCAGAGAAACAUCCCCAAAGGGGUGUAUAACCUUUUAUCUUCUUGUAAAAUUGCUAAGAAUCAAAAAGAGCUCUAGCUCUCACUUUAAAAAAUAAUGUGAUUUGAAAAAUAUGCACUGAUUAAAAAUUAACAUAUUCCCCAUGUACCUUUUCAUUUUAAUAUUAAGUUUGCAAAUACAGCCAAAGCAUAAAGUGGCAUCACCAGGGAUUGUUAAUGGCUCAUUGUUUCUUCUUCCAGGUCCUUGUGACUGAAAGUUGAUAUUUACAGAUACCUCUAAAAUGGGGAUACCUCUGGAUAAGUUAAUGGGAGCAUUACAAACCCAGCAGUUUCUGGUUUAUGCUCCUGAAGACUAGAGAAGCUGAAUUUUAAUAAAAUGCUUGGGAAAAAAAUAAAUUUGGUGUUC
rnacentral:lncRNA from 1 species